UUGGAUCCGUAAUGAAAUAGUAAUAAUGAUAAGGAAAAGUGAUUAUUUGAAGAAAUAGAGAGGGAGGUAAAAAGUGUAAAUUAUUUAUAUAUGAGUAGAACAACUGGGAGUGGCACCCGUGUGAAUAAAAAGAAAAACAAUCAAGUUGGUAAGUUGAUCGAUCAGCUCAAUAAAGGUGAGUCAUUAAAGCUUUUGGAUCCACAUAGACUAUCACGCUCACUUACCAAAAGUCGUACCCAAGUUCGAAUGGAUGCCACAUGCCACACCACCUGAUUAAUUUUCAGCAAAAGAAAAGUUAAACAGUGUCACAUUCUAAAAGUAGGAAAAUAAAUUAAAAUAUUUACAAAUCAUGACAAAAUUUUGAAUUUUACAUGUGAUAGUCUUCUAAAUUUACUAUAGAUAGAUAAAUAUUUUGUAAAAUCUACCACUUUUAAAAAUUGUGACACGUAUAAAGGUAGAGGGAGAAAUUGUAGGAUUUUUCUUCUACACCUAACCUGGAUUCAAUUAAAUAUAUGCAUUCAAGUUACUAAGCAUAUUACUCAACAUUCAAUAUAUCUAUCUUCCAUCAUACUUAAUCAUAUUAUUAAAUAAGAACAAAGAAACUAAAACAACAACAAAGAGAAUAUCAAUCUUUUAGGAGCACAACUAUCUGGAAACGGUAGGUGGUGUAUCACUGAACUUAAGUACUAACUCUUGUGGGUUACUAUUGUUUCUUUUUUCUAUUGAUUUGACCUUCUUGUCUCCAUGUUUAUUAAUUUGCGUGAUAAAAGGGCAUUCCAAAAUUUAGAACAGAUUUGAAAACAAAACAUAGAUAUUGGAAGAUCCGAUCGAAAACACAAAAGAGGCAAAACUAAAAAGCAAUAACACAAAAUCCACUGUGAAUGUGUACGACACACUAGAAAAAAAGUGGUGACUAAAUUGACCAAAUGGGUCUUCUGAAUCUGAAUUGGGGUAAACCGGAGUAACUGAAGGGUGGUGAGGGGAUGUGAGUGAUGGUGAGCAGAUCUGCAAAGGGUGGGUCAGAUUGUGGUCUAUUAUAUUGUGAACAACAACAGGGAGGUGGCCGUGAACAUUUACAUA
rnacentral:lncRNA from 1 species